rnacentral:rRNA from 1 species
UGUGUAGGCGGUCUUCUAAGUUUGGUGCGAAAUCUCCCGGCUCAACUGGGAGGGUGCGCCGAAUACUGAAAGACUAGAGUGCGGGAGAGGAUAGUGGAAUUCCUGGUGUAGCGGUGAAAUGCGUAGAUAUCAGGAGGAACACCGGUGGUGUAGACGGCUAUCUGGACCGUAACUGACGCUGAAACACGAAAGCGUGGGUAGCAAACAGGAUUAGAUACCCUGGUAGUCCACGCCCUAAACGAUGCAUAUUUGGUGUGGGCAGUUCAGUCUGUCCGUGCCGGAGCUAACGCGUUAAAUAUGCCGCCUGGGGAGUACAGUCGCAAGGCUGAA